CUGGGUUCCUGAGCAAGGUUCUGGGCUUCGAGGGGUUUGCUUUUGGCUUUUUGCCUUCAGCGCGUCCUCCGUCACCGCUGUCGGCGUGCGCUGAGCUGCUGCUUAGGGAACUGUGGUGAUACAGACUGUGUGCGUGCCAACCGUCCUCCAGGCUAUAGCUGUAUUCUACCCUAAAAAAAGCUUUCCGUAAUACUAUGCUUCCGUUAGGACGCAAUUUUCUCGAGUUCCCCCCACCUCAGGGUGAUUUUCCCACACCCCUAACCCCAACCCCUAAGCCCACCUGCAACACCCCAUUUUCUCCUAGGCUUGUAGGAGUGGCCUGAGAGGUGCUUGCAGGGUAUUCCAUUUUGCCUUAGACAGCUUAGGAGACCAACCACAUGCCUGGAGAUCUGUAUCUAUCCUUAGGCUCCUAGUGGGAUUCACACAAAACCAGUAUGUGUGGGCACAUUCUCCUAGCAGCUCGGUGUCUUUUUGCUGUUGCAGAGGUGAUUUCCAGGCGGAGCUGACCAGUGGGGUUCUCUGGCUGAGGGGAAGACCAGCCGUCAGCUGGUGGAUGUGCUUCUGGAAGAAAUAGCAACGGGAGCUCUAAGAGAGGGAAAUGGCUUCCCUGCAUGGGAGGAGGCGGGCAGCGCUGAAGCUUUCGUGGCCAAGCCCCGGAGCCAGGAUGUCAGGGAGAAGCAGGAGUAUCUGAGCCAGCUGAAGAACAAGCUGGGAGAUCUACUAGAGGGGAAGGCAGAUGAUCUGAAGACUGCUUUCUGUGCGAUUGAUCCCGGUAUCGACGAUCAGACGCUAGAUACCUACGUUGACCUGCCGGAUCAAGAAGAUGUGCCUGUGGAAACUGCACUCGAGAGGCUGCUUGCUGGAUAUGCGAGACGAGUAGGGCCCUCGCCCAGGGAGGGAAGCACGACAGGCUUCGGAGGGGAGGAAGGAGACUUCCAAUAAUAAGAAUAAAUGGACUGUUUGAUCUACAGGUUUGGGUGCCAAGCCGAGAGUUGGAGUUACUGCGUUAAAUACUUCUUCCCAUUGCAUAUGGAGGUACAGCUCGUAAGAGCUGAGUGGGUGGGCUAGCUUGAGCUAUCGGAAGCACUUUCAUCUUAAGCAGCACAGCACUCCGAGACAAUUUUACAGCCUCUGCAGAGUCAUUUUAGCUCAGCAAGACCUGUGGUGGGAGGCUGCCUGAUCCCCAGACAGAGGCUUCACACCCCCGGGGCGCCGAGGCACUUCAGGGUGUCAGGCGCUCUGCUUGGUGACACAAGAGCUGUGCUCCACAGCCAUUGCUGGAACCUGAGAAGCCACCAUCAGGCUCCAGGCUGCAGCGUGGCUGCUUUGGCCCUUGGCCUUUACAGUCCCUUGUCUCGAAAGAGGGUUUCAAAGAUUCCUUUGCAAAAUAAGGUGCCGGUUGCAAGCAAAAGGUGAGGUCAGCCCACACGAAGUCUGCUAUCAUGUCUGUCCCCGAGGAGACUUUUGUCGUGGUGUGGCUGCUUUUGUCCAGUAUGAAAUCACUCAACAGACGUUCAAGUGCUGCCCCACAAGUAGAUUUAACCAAACUCUGAGCUGCAAAAGUCAUCCAAGCAUAGAAGAACUGAAAUCAGUCCCUUGCUUCGAGGAAGGCACCACGUGCCCUUUGGUAACUUUACUCAGUCGUCCCUACUCAUAGUGUCCGCUUUGCCCUGCACAUAGCCCUCUCUAGGGAGGGGAGGGA